rnacentral:rRNA from 1 species
CAAUAGCGUAUAUUUAAGUUGCUGCAGUUAAAAAGCUCGUAGUUGGAUUUCGGGUGGGAAUGGCCGGUCCGCCGUUUCGGUGUGCACUUGCUACGCCCACCUUGCUGCCGGGGACGUGCUCUUGAGUUCACGCUCGGGACACGGAGUCGGCGAGGUUACUUUGAGUAAAUUAGAGUGUUCAAAGCAGGCCUACGCUCUGAAUACAUUAGCAUGGAAUAACACGAUAGGACUCUGCCUAUCUUGUUGGUCUGUAGGACCGGAGUAAUGAUUAAGAGGGACAGUCGGGGGCAUUCGUAUUUCAUUGUCAGAGGUGAAAUUCUUGGAUUUAUGAAAGACGAACUACUGCGAAAGCAUUUGCCAAGGAUGUUUUCAUUAA